AGCGAACGUUAGCGGCGCGCCUAACACAUGCAAGUCGCACGAGAAACGGAGCAAUCCGCGGUACAGUGGCGCACGGGUGAGUAACACGUGGAUGACCUUCCCUGGAGUGGUGGAUAACCUGCCGAAAGGCGGGCUAAUACAGCAUGGGACCACGACGCUUUGGCGAUGUGGUGAAAGCGGGCCUCUAUAUAUAAGCUCGCGCUCCGGGACGGGUCCGCGUCCCAUCAGCUAGUUGGUGAGGUAACGGCUCACCAAGGCUUCGACGGGUAGCUGGUCUGAGAGGAUGGCCAGCCACACUGGAACUGAGACACGGUCCAGACUCCUACGGGAGGCAGCAGUGGGGAAUCUUGCGCAAUGGGCGAAAGCCUGACGCAGCGACGCCGCGUGGGCGAAGAAGGCCUUCGGGUUGUAAAGCCCUGUGGGGGAGAACGAACCGUACGGGGGCGAAUACCCUCCGUGCCUGACGGUACUCCCUUAGCAAGCAUCGGCUAACUCUGUG
rnacentral:rRNA from 1 species